rnacentral:rRNA from 1 species
UGAAUACGAGACGCUAAGGCGUCGAAGUAGUGUAUGUCAUACUUCCAAGAAAAGCUUGCACUGUCAUAGAUAAAAAACGCCUGUACCAUAACCGACACAGGUGGGUAGGUAGAGUAUACUAAGGGGCGCGAGAUAACUCUCUCUAAGGAACUCGGCAAAAUAACUCCGUAACUUCGGGAGAAGGAGUGCCUUAUUCGUAAGGUUGCAAUAACAAGAUCCAAGCAACUGUUUAUCAAAAACACAGGUCUCCGCUAAGUCGUAAGACGAUGUAUGGGGGCUGACGCCUGCCCAGUGCCAGAAGGUUAAAGAAGUUGGUUAGCAAUUGCGAAGCUGAUAACUGAAGCCCUGGUGAACGGCGGCCGUAACUAUAACGGUCCUAAGGUAGCGAAAUUCCUUGUCGGGUAAGUUCCGACCCGCACGAAAGGCGUAAUGAUUUGGAUACUGUCUCGGAGAGGGGCUCGGUGAAAUAGACUUGUCUGUGAAGAUGCGGACUACCUGCACCAGGACAGAAAGACCCUAUGAAGCUUUACUGUAACUUGAAAUUGAAAUUGGACUUUAUUCGCGCAGUAUAGGUGGGAGGCGUUGAUUAUAAUCUUGUGGGAUUAUUGGAGCCAUCAGUGAGAUACCACUCUUGUAAUGUUAGAUUUCUAACUUUGAAUCAUUAUCUGGUCAAAGAACAGUUUCAGGCGGGCAGUUUGACUGGGGCGGUCGCCUCCUAAACGGUAACGGAGGCGUACAAAGGUUUCCUCUGAACGGUUAGAAAUCGUAUCUAGAGUGUAAAGGCAUAAGGAAGCUUGACUGUGAGACCUACAAGUCGAGCAGGGGCGAAAGUCGGUCUUAGUGAUCUGACGGUACUGAGUGGAAAGGCCGUCACUCAACGGAUAAAAGUUACUCUAUGGAUAACAGGCUGAUCUCCCCCAAGAGUUCACAUCGACGGGGAGGUUUGGCACCUCGAUGUCGGCUCAUCGCAUCCUGGGGCGGUAGUACGUCCCAAGGGUUGGGCUGUUCGCCCAUGAAAGCGGUACGCGAGCUGGGUUCAGAACGUCGUGAGACAGUUCGGUCCAUAUCCGGUGUAGGCGUUAGAAUAUUGAGAGGAGCCUUCUUUAGUACGAGAGGACCGAGAAGGACAUACCUCUGGUGUACCAGUUAUCGUGCCAACGGUAAACGCUGGGUAGCUAUGUAUGGAGUGGAUAACCGCUGAAAGCAUCUAAGUGGGAAGCCCACCUCAAGAUAAGUAUUCUCAUC